AGUAACGCGUGGGCAACCUGCCCUGUACAGGGGGACAACAGCUGGAAACGGCUGCUAAUACCGCAUAAGCGCACAGCAUCGCAUGAUGCCGUGUGAAAAACUCCGGUGGUAUGAGAUGGACCCGCGUCUGAUUAGGUAGUUGGUGGGGUAACGGCCUACCAAGCCGACGAUCAGUAGCCGACCUGAGAGGGCGACCGGCCACAUUGGGACUGAGACACGGCCCAA
rnacentral:rRNA from 1 species